rnacentral:rRNA from 1 species
CACGUAGGGUGCGAGCGUUGUCCGGAAUUAUUGGGCGUAAAGAGCUCGUAGGCGGUGUGUCGCGUCGGCCGUGAAAACCUGCAGCUUAACUGUGGGCGUGCGGUCGAUACGGGCAUCACUGGAGUUCGGCAGGGGAGACUGGAAUUCCUGGUGUAGCGGUGAAAUGCGUAGAUAUCAGGAGGAACACCGGUGGCGAAGGCGGCUUUCUGGACAGAUACCGACGCUGAGGCACGAAAGCUAGGGGAGCAAACAGG